CCCCACACCCCAUACCCCAUUUCUAAUGCUCGGUAGAGAAACACACUGUGAGAAUAAAGCAUCUUGCCCAGAAACACAGCAUAUUGACCCCUGGUAGGACUUUUAAAAAUCCGAACCGCUUCAUCGCGGAACCCAUUGAACUAAUUACAACGCAAGUGCGCCUACAACAAGGACAUCACUGAACAUCUAUAUCGAGUUUUCAGGGAUGUUACCCAGCAUUUGUUUGCAUUUAUCAUUAAUUAAUUCGGCGCAUAAUUUUACACAUCUCAUGUGACAGGCUCGCGCGAUAUUUCCAGUGUUUCUUGAGAUCAUAUGUGCUUCGAGUCUACAGUAGUUAAGAUGAACAAGGUAGGGGUCCAAUUAUAAUGUGCGCUUGUUUGUUUCAGACGUGAUGGAGAAGAUGCUCACUCUUGGUACAGUGAAAGCGAUGCAACACUAAACAAGGUGCAAGACGAGUCUUGAUUUAAGAUUUUGAUAUUCAUCAUUUCUCUUACUGGUGUCAUAUCAGGUUUUCAGUGGCUAAAUUCUCCCCCCUCUUCCCCCUUAUGCAUAAAAAAAUUUAGCACCAAACGUUUGAGAAUUACACUGUCACAAGAGAUGAAAAAUUUAUGGAUUCACUACCUCCUUGUAGUAGUUCUUCUGACUGUAACCUAGAACAGUCCGGAAUAUCCCGAUAAAAUAGGACAGCCAUGACGUCAUGAAGCUAUUGUUAGCAGGGAAAAUGGCGGACCUUUCAUGUGGACAAAGGAAAUAUGUUGUUUCCAGUCUCGCACAGAGUCUGCCCAGCAUUAUCCAGGACUUUUUGCGACCAAACGUUGAGUAGAAGAAUAAGCGGCCAUUUUGGUAGUGGGAAAACGUUGACUGUCUCCUAAUCAUUGAGUUUUUUUGGUGUCAAGCGACGAUGUAGACGCGAUUUUGUGGCCGAAUAUUAAGUACAUGGAAGAGCAUACUCGACUGCUCGAGGCACUUUGCCGAAUUUUUGGGGAAAAA